AGCCAAAACAAAACAAACACCCCCCCACACACACACACAAAACUGCCUUUCACCUCAAAUGCUGCCAAGACCAAACAGGACACCGGGGAGUUGGCUGCGCCGCUUUACCUAGACAAGCCUGUGCUCCGCUGUCUCCUGUCCAGAACUACAGGCAUGAUUCCCUGGUUACAAGAAAAACCCGAACCCCAUUUCCCUAGACCCGAGGCGGCUCCAUCAACGCACACUAUCAGAGUGGAGACGAUCUUCAGGAUGCAUCACAAGGCUGGUCAUGGGAUCAUGGUCCCAUCUUUGGUGACAUAUCUGUGACCCAGGAAGUCAAGAAACUUAAUCAAACUGACAGCUUUGAUGUGGAUACCCUCGGCAUUGGGGCUCACACUGUAACUGUUUUCGUCUCACGCACUAUGGAGGAAAGAACUCUUACCUGAGGUGCACUAUCUGCAGAAAAGAACUCUUACCUGAGAAUUCAUCAGGCGAAUGGUGGUUUUCGUGCCCACAUCCUGUUGGAAAUUGGCUAUAGGUGCCCCAUUAAACCUCAGGACUGCAUCAUGAUUAUCUGUAAACCACAGGAAACGGAAAUAGGGGGGAAUCCAGACACCUUAUUCACGAGAACAGCAGAACUCGGUUCCUAGACAACAUGCCUUCGGAAUGGUCUGGAAAUGAUACGGGAUGAACACAGUCCAAAUCUUAUCAGCUUUCAGGCAGUGCUCUGCCGGGAGGGCGCAGGUCCACCUUACACAACACAGUCCAGAUAAGUUCCUCAGAACCAGGCACGGGGUCGAAAGUCAGCAGUAGAACCCGCAGGAAAAGCAGACCUGUGAGAAACUACGCAGCUUUCCCAGUCAGUUCCCAGGAGGAAGGCAAGUGCUGUUUACAAGGCUGAGUUUGAGGAAACCAAACUAACACCCAGGGCUGCCUGCAGCUGUUUCUACCCCAAGGCAUACCACAGCAGGAGGAGCUGAGGAAGGUCACUGUCACCAGUUGUACCCUGCAGGAGAAGAGCACCCUUCUGCUAACAUCCAGCCACCUUGGGAAUUAUCUCCUCUCCUCUGCUUCUUCCCCUGAUCUCACAGGACUGGAGGGAAAUGAAAUCAAAAGCAGAGCUGGAAAGUCCCACCUGACAGGAGCUGAGACUUUCUGAUCCCAGGAAACAACAGGCAGAGGUCAUUGUGGGGGCGCUAAGUGACCCUGAGCUGAGUCCCACCUUCCUCUUUCCCAGAUACAAGCCAGUGCUCCCCUGCGCUGGUUCCAGACAAGCAACUGGCACAGUUCAAAAUUGCAACUGGUAUUAUUUUUGUGGCUACUUCAUAACUGUAGUUUUGCUGCUGCUACAAAUCGUACUAUAAAUAUUUGUGUUUUCUGAUGGUCUUAGGUGACCCCUGUGAAAGGCUCAUUCCCUCCCCCGCCCGACAAAGGGGUGACAACUCAUAAGUUGAGAACCACUGGGCUGGGGACAGGAAAAUGAAGAGAAGAAGAAAGAUGCACAGGUCAGCACAGAAGAGCACAGGACAGGGGCAUAAAGUCUAUAUUUUAAAAAAAAAAAGACUAAAAUCCAAAGUUCCAAAGUCCUUAUUGAGUCGUCACUUCUCGCCACUGAUUCCUGUGAUUCCUGGAGCUCUUUCUGGCCUAACCCCUCCCCCUUCUCCACCCACUGGCCCCCACAAUCCCAGCACACCCUAUCGUUCUCCCUGCAGCUUUCAUUUCUUGAUUUUGCCUCAGACUGUUGUUUUUCUUUCCACUGGGGAAGCAAGAAGAGAUUAACCCAGCCAAAUUCACUGGAGGUCAAUAUCGUUAUGAGACGUCAGAGAACCAAGCAAGGUUAUCUUUGGGUCAUGUGACCACUUUCAACCCCUACUCUGUUGACAAGCAAGUUGUGCAAAUCUCUCGGGCCUCCACAGUUAACUCCUAGGAACUGCUAGGGGUGCAACAGGUACUGCACAAGGCAUAGCCAGUCCACGGCCCAGCUUGCAGGGAUGGGGGUGGGGGGUGUGUCCCUAGCCGAAAACCCGUGAAGAGCUCAUAGCUUCUAGAGGAGAACGAAUCAGUUUCCUUUAAGGGUGUAGCCCCUAGUGGGCAGACCAAGCUGCAGUGGAUGGCCGGCCCCAAGCCCAUGAGCAUGUGAGCAAUACAAACUGGAAUGCAGCGAGUUAUUAAAACAAGAAGAGCUCUAGAAGUUAGGAGCAGACAGGGAUGGAUCUAGCAGGGGAGGGUGGGGAGUGACUAUGUUCAAAAUAAACUAUGUGCAUAUACGAAAUUCUCAAA